ensembl:lncRNA
CCCCCUCCUCCCCGCGGGGACGGGCGGCGCGGUGCGGGCGUUCAGCGGUGCUGCGGGGCGGCCGCUUCCUCCGUGUCCGCCCGGGCGCGAUGCAACAAGAGCGAGUGGGCAACCGCGCCGCCGAGGGAGGAUCCGGAUCCGUACUUGGAGCCGCCGCACAUUGAUCCGGUGACAGCUAAAAUAACGGGAAGACACACCCACUUAGCACCAGCAUAUUUACAUUAACUGCCUCCGGGACCCCGCGGCCGUCAAUCACCGAUGCGCUCCGCUCAAUCACGGCGCGGCUUUAAGGCACAGCGGAGCGGGGCGGGGGGGCUCGGGGGGCCGCCAGCGAGCGGGGACCCGCCCGGGUCUGCCCGAGGUAAGAGCGGGGAUCCGCAGCUCUCCGCGCAUCUCUUCUCCCCUCCGCGCAUUUCCGCGCGUCCCUCCGCGUUUCGGCCCGCGCCGCCCCCCGGGCUUCGUUGUAACGUACCGGUUUGGAGCGGGAUGCAACGAAAACCCUCCUCCCCGGGGGGGGUCGCCGAUAGGGCCCCAACGAAUCUUCCCCUUCCUUCUCACCGCCGUUCCCCCCUUCCUCCGUAGCCGGGAUGAGAGCUCCGCCCGGGGGCCGGCACUGAGUGAGACCCUCCGGCGCUGCCACAUCUCUCACCGCUUAUUUUCGUGUUUGCGGGGUGGGCCCACGGGUGGGGGUUAAACACGGCGCGGUACCCACGGAGCCGCUCCGCCUCUCUGUGCCACCGCCGGCCGCAGCCCGGCGCCCCAUCCCCACCGGGGAGGCCGCACGUCGGGGGGCCCCGAGGGGCUCAAAUCCGCGGCUCCACCGCGUCCCCCUCCGCCGUCUCCGCUCCCGCGCCCCGCAGCACCGCACCGCACCGCACCGCCCCGACAGCGCGGAACGGCCGCGGCUCCUCCGCUCCUCGCCGCCUCCGCUAUCUUCGAACAGUUGAAUUGACUGCAGUUUUUGUCAGUUAAUUAGGUUUAAUUUACAUAAUUAGUACAGUAUAAAGAGUAUUGGGGAUAAUCAGGAGGUACGUCUCGCUUACUGUGUAAACACGGAUUCGGAAUUAAAAAUCAGAUGUAAUUAAGGCGUGUGCGCGCGGCUUUUAAUUGUAAUGAAUUUCUAAUUAACGCUCAACGAUCGCCGCACGCGGGAGCGGGGACGUUUGCGGGGCCCCCCCGACCCCCCCACCCCCGGGGCUGCGCGGUGCGGGGCGGUGCGGGGCGCCCCGACGGGACCCGCGGGCGGUUCCGCUCCCGGCUGAGCCCGGCGGAUCAUUUCGGUUAAAACUUAUGGAGCCGUGGCACGGGGGGGUGGGGGUGGGGAUAAAUAAAUAACCGCCCGGAGACGGCCGCGGAAGGGCCCUCUCUGCCUCUCCCUUUCCCUCCUGGAGGGCUGUGCCGAGAUUGCCACAUAAAUCACGGCGGUCUAAUUCAGUGGAAGUUUAAUAAACGCCUCCUAUUGGAAAUGAAUGUUCCCCAUUUAACAGUUGUAUCAGCACCAUAUAAAACCAUGACCCCAACAAAUUUAAUUUUAGAGGCCGAUCAAUCCGGGCUUCUCUCCAUCGAUCCGCAGCGGCUCUGCGUUUACGGCCCCUUCCGCGGCCCUUCGCGGGGAGCGGGGGGGGGGGAAGGAGCGCUUCGAUCACACUCUUUAUUAGGAAAAGAUUGCUCCGAGAGGCCUGAAAAUUAAACGGUGACAUUUUAAUUACUGGACAUUGACAAAGGAAGCGGG